UUGACCUAGGGUUUAUCACACUCCCUUCUCUACUCUCUUUUCUUCCCUUCCCCACGUCCUCUUUCUUUCUUACCGCUAUCUCUAGACCUUCGAAUACAAGGAUGAAUCAGUUGUUAACUCUCCCUUACCUCUCGACACACAGCGGCCAAUCGGCGGUGAAAUCCCUCCCUCAUUCUCCCCCUCUUAUUUUCUCUAGCCCUUGAUCUCUCUCCCUCUCUGUUUCUUCUUCUUCUUCUUUUGUCUUUUUUCUUGUUCCUUUUUCAGAUCGCGAUUCUUCACUAUUCAUCGUCUUCAACCAACGAACUAGCGGCAGGGCGACAAUAACUCUCUCAGUUUCUGACACUCUAUCUGUUCCUCUAUUCUCUCCGUCCAUAUCUCUCAAGUCCACCACCAAUCAUCCAAGCGUCUCUCCAGCUGCUGCAACGAUCAUCAAGGUGUCUCUCUUGUUGUUGCAAGUCGUUGCAGCAUGUCUUCACGCGUAACCAACGGUGACAACAAAUCCUCGCUCUAAAUCCUCUCCUACCUAGAAUUUUUCAAUCCCUCCACCUUCCUCCCUCUCUCUCCUCCUCACUCGCGUAAACACUACUCGUCGCCACUGUUCAUCGUCUUCCUCGAUUGAAUAGUGGCGGUAAACCCUAUUCAAGUCUUUCUCUCCCUUUCUCUUACCUUCUAUAACUUUCUUUUAUCCUUUCCCAUUGUUUUCCUCUCUUUUUUUUUUAUUGCUUACUGUCAUUUUUCGACAAAAGCAGAUGCACAGCAACGAGAUUUCCUUUGUUUCCCACUCGAAUCAGGCAGAAGCCCAACUGUUCUUGAUUUUAUUUCUUUCCAUCAUGUUGUUUUUCUCAUUGUCCUACUGUUUGCUACCCCAUUCACUAUCCGAAUCCUCAGUUCUCGCAAACCUGGUCGCUUGAAUCGAACCUGUCGUCGCAGACAACGAAGAUACAUCAGUAGACAGAGAAACUGCAACCGAAAGGCCAUAUUUUAAUCAGUCAAGAAUGGAACCUACAAUAGGGUAUCGCCAGCCGCCCGACAGUCAAACUUUUGCUGUUCAUGUAACGAAGAAUAGGCCGAGAAAUCAAAGGAAUCGACAACUGGGAUAUUUAAAACUCCCGCGUCCAUCACCAACGCCUUUUAACAGCGACCGCUUGGCACCUGCGACACAUAAAUGUGCACCGAUCGGAAAGAUGAGAAGACCAGACUUCUAGUUGACGCUUGCGGAAGGGAACAAUGCGAAACGAUUUGGAUAAAAAAAGGGGGAGUGAUUCUCAGUGCCCAGAAGACCGCUUCCAUUCACUUUGCCGAUUCAGGCAAAAAUUGGGGAUAAGACGCGGAUCCGGGAUGAGUAGAUUGAGGAGUCUGGUAGCACAAUAAAAAAGAAAAAUCUGACCAAAAAGGGACGACUUGCAGAGGUUAUUUUGACAUUAUUUUCUCAGUUUUUCACAGAGGAGAAGAGGGGAGAAUGACGUCCAAGCGAGAUUAAAGCUUCAACAAGGCUUGGGAAGAUCUUGAUCGAUGAGUUUUACUUGUUAUUUUACUUUGAUUCUUUGAGAGAUUUCAAUAUUUAAUUUUGUUUUUUAGAGAUUUCUUUUAUUAUUUUGAUAAACCCUAAAGUUAUAAUCUUCAAUUUCCAUAUAAGAUUAGUCAUGCUCUUUUUA